CAGAAAGACGUCCACUUCCAGCUCAGGUAUUUCUGACAACAUGUGCAUUUAUUUGUAUUAGAAGUACAAACGUAGGAAUCCAAAUACAAAUACAGAGGGCGGCCCAGCCACGAGGCCCAGCUGAGGGCACGGCGGGGACGGGACGCACGAAGCGGGGCGCGGCGCCGCCCGUGUCGCCAAGGCACGUCGGGCGCCAGUGCGCCCUCAUUUCACUAGGACACCACGAGCCGCACGGAUAGCGGGGAGCCACGUCCUCUGCGCAGGGGAGGAGGGCGGCGGGACCUCGGGACCGCCCGGAGCCAGGGCCUCCAAUCCCUCGCGGGACGACAGGGACACAGGGGCUACUGGAGGCCACUUGGCUUCACAGAGAGAGGACCCUGCCCACACCCCGGCUGCUUCAAGCCUGACCUGACGCCUUCCUGUGACCUGCGAAUACGACUUCCUAGACAAGGGUGGGGAUGGCUGUUUGCCAUCUAAAUCUUGAAAAGUACUUUUGGCUUAUCGGGUCAACUUGACCAGAAUGCACGAAUGAUCAAGGAGUCGCCCAGGUGUGCACCCCGGUCACAACAGUGAUGCUCAAGGGCUCUCCAAAGGAGGCAGGCUUGUGUGGACCCCAGAGGGACUCCUGAUCAGAAAUUGCAGAUGAAAUUUCUUACGGGUAGAGUUUAAAAUCGCUCAGGAAAAGCACUCAAAAAGAGUUGCAAGAUCAUGGAGUGAAUUCCAAGUGCUUUGUGCCUUGAGAGCACUGAACCGAUACGGUGAUAAGAAUAAUGGUUGGAGACCAGGUGUAAUUCUUCAAGUCUCAAAGGAAAUCACAGAAAAUUUCCAUUUUGGCAGCUGAGAUAAAAAUGAUCAAGGAAGAAGAGGUUUUGUCUGUUUUGUGUUCUAGCCCUUUAGAUAGAGUGGCUCAUUGCUUCCUAGUCAUAGGGAGCUGGAGUCAAUGCAGAAUGGGUUACCGGCCCCUCUCCUGUUGCUUCGAGUGUGGUUAUAUUGCAGAACAACGAAGCAACAUGCCUGCAAACUUACUGCAGCAAGCUAUCACCAGGUAAAAUGAUUUGGUGCGGAGUUUCUAUUAGAGACACUCAUCCCCAUCAGGACUGUGUUGCUGACAUUUUAGAUUGGCCCCAAUUUCCCUUAUGUAGAGUGAAAAUGCUUUGCUCUUGAGAACACGCAUUUUCUCAGUCAAAGAGCCUGCAAAAUCUUUGUACUUAAUUGGUUUGAUGUAAAAUUAAGGGUAAGACUGUUUGGCAUAUAAAGAAAUGAAAUCCUAUUUCCAUCCAUUCAUAAAAGAUAAAUAAAACUUGGCAUGAAAUAUAGCUAACUGCAGGAAAUGGAAAAUCUUAAAAGAUGUGUAUUAUUUGAGCUUUCUGUUUCAUUUUAAGGCAUGUUUUGGGUAAAUUGGGGGCAGUAUUGGCUGGGUCCAGAGUAAAUUAUACUAACUUUGUCCUUCUCUGUCUGGUAUGUAGGGAGUCUCUGUUCUGGUAGGUGGUGUUGGGACUUUGCAGAAGCUGAAGCUUUCUAGGCUCUGAAGAGACAUUUUUCUCCAAUUCCAUUAAUGUGAAAUGCCUUUUCUUUGCUUUCCCCCCACCCAGUAUGCAGCUUAAAAGACAGACAGUCACAGUUUUAAGUGUGAUCCACAGUGGUCAGAAAUUUGGAUUCCAUGUCAAAAUACAGAACUGUCAUCUCCUCAACUUAGAGUAUUUCUGAAAGUGAGGAACACAGUAGCACCUUUGGAAUGCAGAUCACUCAGACAACUUCCACCCCAAAUAUUUCCCAAUUCUGCAUGCAAAGCAAGCUGGGGCUUAGCUGUGUGGAACAGCCUUGCACCUCGUGCCCACACACGUCCCUCCUGAUCAGGCAUCCUGGCAAAGAGAGUCUUUAGUGAAAGAAAGCGUACUUCCUUCCCACUCUCCCCACACUGCUCCUCUCCUUCCUCUAGAAAGUAAACAUGUACAUGAUUAAAAAUCCCCUGAGCUCUGCACCUCACCAAGGCACACCCAUCUCUUCCUCAUUGUGGACUGAAAAGGCUCAUCUCAGGAGUUGAGACUGAUAUGGAGAACUUGAAUUAUGCAAGCCUGCGGAGAACCCGGCAUGGACAUGCUCUUAGGGGGUGCUUUAGCUCUUUUUAUUGAGACCCCCUAGUGGGGAGCCUGCUGUAUAUGCAGGAAUCCACACUAUGAUGCUCAGUUAGUGAAAUCCAUUGGACUUUCUUGAGAUGAAGGUUCUCCUUCCUAGAAAAGGAGCGCUGAACUCAUCUGUUUUGAUCAGGAGGGCUGCUGAGGUUGGGAAGAAGAGAAUGGCUGGAUUCAGAAAACUGAGGUUAUUGGUGUAUUUAUCCUACAUGUAAAAUUUCAGGAGGGUUGCUAACAAUAUCCAAAUGUUGAGUGGUUUUGAAACACAAGGCAUCAGUAAAAUUCUUUUAAGGUAAAAUCAAACAAAUCCAUGUUAUAAAAAGUUGUUUUAGGUUAUUUUCCUCCCAAUAAGAAUUUUUCUAGAAAAUUCAGUUCUCUCCAGAACUUCGUUUACAAUGUAGCAGGUUGCAGUUCUUCAGCUUGUUAGAAAUUACCCAUUCAUAACGUUUGACAUUGUGUCUUAAGACUGCCCUUGGGCCACCUUCCCUUGGCGCUCAGUGCUGUGGUGUGACUUGGAUUCCUUUGGUCAGGGUCCUUGCAGAAUACUUCUGCCAAGGCGGGGGUUGCUUAUGCAUGAGAGACAGAACUAGAGUACCAGAGUGUGAAAUUCUCCAAUAGAGGAGACAUUGCAUCUAAGACAAUAUUUUCAACCUGUUUCUCCACAAAUACUCUUUUAUUUUUAAAACUGAAUUUGCUAAACUGAAGCCAAUUGGCUUGUGGAUUAUGUAGCAACUACCAAACCAAAAGACAGAGAGUUGACAGGGAGAGAAACAAUGGGUUUGAAUGUCUCACGCUGUAUAGACUCCAUCUUUGGAAAUUCAGACAUAUCUAUAUCUUUGCAUCCGUUUAAUAUGCAACAAUCUUAAUAGGAAUAAGCAGAUGAAUCUAAUUUCACUUUUUCUGGCCUCUUCUGCUCCCAUCCUCUUCUGUGUCUGGUAUACAUCCAGGACAUUGUGUGAAAUUGAUACUUUUCUAUACUUUCUCUGCAAAAUAUUUUACGUUUCUGGGUAAUUAUGGUAUGCACAAUAGAUAAUUUUAAAAAUUACGGUUUCUAGGUCAAAUUAAUUCAGUUUUCUAUGUGAGAAAGAUGAGAAGCACAGAGAUUCUGGUUUCAAAUUUUAACAAUGCCAAAGCAUUAUUAACUAACUGGUAGGACUUGUGUUUUGCCUAUUGGUGAGGAGAAGUUUCAAAACAGUCUUCUGCAGUUCACAUUGGCAUCCAGUUAUAACAAAGAACUAACAGCAAGCAGCAAGUUGGUUUUGUAUUAUAAAAAUAUCAAAAGAGUAUUGAUUUGGGGGGAUAUUUUUUCUUUGGGAUUUUGCUAUGUAUCCAUAUUUCAAAGUAUAAAAUAAUCUUGUUCAUCAAAAUAUGUACUUGAUGAUCACCAUUGCCCAUUUUUUUGCAUCUAAAGUUGGUUUGAGUUGAAAAUUAAUAUUCACUAAUUUUUUUUUUUUAAUUUUGGCCGGGCAUGGUGGCUCAUGCCUGUAAUCCUAGCACUUUGGGAGGCUGAGGCGGGCAGAUCACCUGAGGUCAGGAGUUCGAGACCAGCCAGGCCAACAUGGUGAAACCCCGUCUCUACUAAAAAAACCCAAAAAACAAAAAACAAAAAUACAAAAAUUAGCCGGGUGUGGUAGCGCACACCUGUAGUCCCAGCCACUUGGGAAACUGAGGCAGGAAAAUCGCUUGAACAUGGGAGGCAGAGGUUGCAGUGAGCUAAGAUUGUGCCACUGCACUCCAGCCUGGCCAGGUGACAGAGCAUGACUCUGUCUCAAAAAAAUAAAAUAAAAAUAAAAUUUUAUCUACAUGUCUUUCACAUUCCGGUGUAUGUCUUCAAGAUAACAGGUUGUGUUCACUGUAUACCUUUCUUUGCAAAAUGACAAUUACCGAACCCAUAAUAAUAUAACAUAAGCUGGACACAUACUCGAGGGUUGAGCGUUGGUCUAGUGAAAAACAGCUCUUAAGGUGAAAUGCUGUUGAACUAGUCCAAGAACCCAAAGUUCAAAUAUUGUUGACUCUCAGUAAGUUGGAAUAAAGUAAUAACCUUCUGAUGUUCAGAGAUAAUCAUCUUUGACCCCAACAACAUGAGCAUUUUGAAAAUCUUAUUUUCUCCUCCAAUGGAAACCGUAGACAAUGCGAGUGUACUCUCCCCAGGCCUAGAACGAGGUUAUUAGGUAAAGGAGUGCCAGCUAACGAUGAUGGUGCUGGAGCCAGAGAGGCCACAGAGAAAGGAGACUGGGGUUGGAACCCACUGCUGUUCACACUGGAGCACACACAUGCCCAGGCUGAGCCAGCAGGAGUGGGUCUCGGCCAGGGGUGAUUCAACACUCCUGAGUGCUACUACACCCAGGGCUGCAAAGGAAAGAUACAGAAGGACUAGAGGCCUGAGAGAGCAUCUCAGACAUUCACGUGCACAUUUUACAGAUUUCUUUGCAAGGGUAAUCAG
rnacentral:lncRNA from 10 species